CGACUUGUUCAGCCACUUUCGUAGUUUCAAUUCUGGAGCUCUGAAGGGGGUCAGUCAAUGAAGCUGUAGCUGAAUCCAUCAAUGCUGAUUCCUCAGUUUUUCUUUCCCCUGAUUCUUGUGGUUGUUGCUCUCCUUCGAGGUUAAUCUUUGCUUUCUGUGGAGUUUCUGUGGUUCCUUGCUGCUCAAAAAUUUUUGGCGCAAACUCAUCGCCAGUUUGAACUGGUGUGUAUGGGCUCUCAAUGAGAUCUGCUUCAGCUGGAAUUUGCUCCUCAGUUGUUGCACAAGAGCUUUUCUCUAACUCACUAGUUUCUUGAAUGAUUUUGCUCUCUGUUGCAAACCCCCUGACGCUUUCUUUUUCUGACAUCGCCAUACUCGAUUCCUGAUAAAGAUUAAAAGUAAUGCUGCUCAACUUGAAUUUUUUUUUUUUUUUUGAAAGAAUCAUCAUCAGUGAUAUAAUUAGUAUUUUCAAAACUAGUACUAUUUAGGUUCAUUUGGUCUUGGAAAGUUUGAGAGAAUGGUCACUUGAAAACAAAUAAAACUGGAGCUCAUACGUCCUCAAUUCUCUUUUUGAAGAACUCCAUUUUGUAGAAAAUUUCUCUGCAUGAUGUUUGUAAAGCUGCGUAAAUCAUUGAACAAGUUGAUGAACUGCAAACUCUUGUUCUAAUUUUUUUUUCCUGAAAAUGCUGCUACAAGAAUAACUGGAGCAUUUAUCAUGGUUGAUAUUUACUAUUUAAUUUUUACAGAAAAUCCUUUUUAUUGGCAAGGUUGAAAGGAGAGUUGAAGUAUAAUCUGACCUCAUUUUCCGGAGUUGUGGCUUCUGCCUUGCCACUUCCAUAGUUGCUUUCUUCUCCCUGAGUGCUAGCAUCCAAUUUGAUUGCUGAAUCUCCUGCCUCCUUUCCCUCAAAUUCAUUUGGACAGCCCUCUUUUGCAAUCAUGUUCUCUUCUGAAACUUGGUGUGAAUCCUCAACAAUUAUAUCUUCGGCAACAUCUUGCCUUCCAAUGUUCAGGCUUGCAGAGCCUUUUUCAGUUUCCUCAAGUAGCUGUUUUUUAGAUAAAGCUUCAGCUUUUAUAAAAAUGAAAUUACAAAAAAUCACAAGAAUAUAAAUCAAGUGCAUUCCCCUUUUCUAACCUUUUCAUACUGAAUUUUGUUCACUGCGGUUUUAAAUGCAUUAUCUGUCUCGUCUCCUCUACAUUCUUCGGCCUUCUGCCCGUCAUCUUCAAGGCUCUUGUUCAUUCCUUCACAAAUGGAAACUGGUUGACAUGUUUCCUCAACUUCCUUUUCCUCUGUAAUCUGUUAUAUUUCACAUUUCAGCCACAUCACCAAAUAUGUAUGCAAUCACAUUGAAACAAAAGGAAAAUCAAUUUGCAGAAAUGAAAAUGCAUCAAGUAUUUCCUCUGACCUGUUCUUUUGAAACUUCAGUCUCUGUAAUUUCAUUUCCUUCUAUUGUUUUCUUGCACUGAUUUUCUUCAGUCCUCACUUCACUAAUAGCCUCUAUUAGAUGUUUUUCCUUAAUUUCGGUGUCCUCUGAUCCAGCAACUUCUUCCUGAGAAUGUAUUACUGCCUCAGAUUGAAGAGCCUUACUUUCUGACGAAGCAUCGGUACUUUUUAGCUUUUUCUCAAUUCCCCAAGGCUCUAAAGCUCCGUCAGGAGUGUGGCCUUCUUCGUCGUAAGCUUCAGUUGGAUUGUCCUGUAAAUCUUUAUGGAUUUUAAAUCCCAUAGUGGAAACUUCAAGCUCCCUGGGUUCUUCUGUUUGCAAGCAUGGGCCCUCAUCUUCCAACUUUUCCACUUUUUGCUGUUUCUCUUCUUCUAUCUCCUCAACUGUAACGGUAGUUUCAUGCUUGGGGGCCAUUGGUGCACUUGUUUUCUCUGCUGAGGGAGUCUGAUCAGUAGUAAUUUCAUUUUCUGUAACAGGUUCAAUAGCUUGAGCUCUAUAGUCAGAUGCUGCUUUGCAAGCUUCUUCAGUGUUUUCAGCAUCUGGCUUCUCCUCAGUUGUGUUUUUCCCAGUCACAUCUAUGUCUUCAGU
rnacentral:lncRNA from 1 species